UACAACACAUGCAUUUUUAUUUAACAUGCUACUAAGGAAAAAGCCUCUAGAAAAAUCAAACUUGAAGUCUACAGCCUACAUAGGCGCAGUAAUCUGAAACAGUAGACAAUAGUCCGUUUUCUUGAAAGUCUACAGACCAUUCUGCAAAGACCUAGUAAUCUAAGGAAAAAUAUUGAAUUCCGUUUACACUAAAAUAUAAACUAUGAGAAACUUCGUAUUCAUUUCCAUUUUGUUGCUGUCGGUCUCUUGUGCAGGGUUUGUACCAAAGUUUGAACCUGCAGACUAUUUCUAUGAUCAAAGAGACUUGUAUUAUAGAAGAAUGCCUCAUUUGUUCAACUUCAGAUACAGACCACGUGCAUCUCAGAAUACAAGUAGUUCGACAUUAACAAGACUUUACUAUGAUGGUUAAUAAUUAAAAUUAUUCUGAAUGUGAAUAAAAUGAAAAUGUUCUCAGUCUA